GGAUCAUUACUGAGUUUACGCUCUAUAACCCUUUGUGAACAUACCUAUAACUGUUGCUUCGGCGGGUAGGGUCUCCGUGACCCUCCCGGCCUCCCGCCCCCGGGCGGGUCGGCGCCCGCCGGAGGAUAACCAAACUCUGAUUUAACGACGUUUCUUCUGAGUGGUACAAGCAAAUAAUCAAAACUUUUAACAACGGAUCUCUUGGUUCUGGCAUCGAUGAAGAACGCAGCGAAAUGCGAUAAGUAAUGUGAAUUGCAGAAUUCAGUGAAUCAUCGAAUCUUUGAACGCACAUUGCGCCCGCCAGCAUUCUGGCGGGCAUGCCUGUUCGAGCGUCAUUUCAACCCUCAAGCUCUGCUUGGUGUUGGGGCCCUACAGCUGAUGUAGGCCCUCAAAGGUAGUGGCGGACCCUCCCGGAGCCUCCUUUGCGUAGUAACUUUACGUCUCGCACUGGGAUCCGGAGGGACUCUUGCCGUAAAACCCCCAAUUUUCCAAAGGUUGACCUCGGAUCAGGUAGGAAUACCCGCUGAACUUAAGCAUAUCAAUAA
rnacentral:rRNA from 1 species